ACACAUGCAGUCGAGGGGUAACAGGGAGAAAAGCUUGCUUUCUUGCUGACGACCGGCGAACGGGUGCGUAACGCGUAUAGAAUCUGCCUUGUACAGGAGGAUAGCCUUUAGAAAUGAAGAUUAAUACUCCAUAAUGUUGAGAGAUGGCAUCAUCUUUUAAUUAAAGAUUUAUCGGUACAAGAUGACUAUGCGUCCUAUUAGCUAGAUGGUAAGGUAACGGCUUACCAUGGCAACGAUAGGUAGGGGGUCUGAGAGGAUUAUCCCCCACACUGGUACUGAGACACGGACCAGACUCCUACGGGAGGCAGCAGUGAGGAAUAUUGGUCAAUGGAGGCAACUCUGAACCAGCCAUGCCGCGUGCAGGAAGACUGCCCUAUGGGUUGUAAACUGCUUUUAUACAGGAAGAAACUUAGUUACGUGUAACUAACUGACGGUACUGUAAGAAUAAGCACCGGCUAACUCCGUGCCAGCAGCCGCGGUAAUACGGAGGGUGCAAGCGUUAUCCGGAAUCAUUGGGUUUAAAGGGUCCGCAGGCGGUCAAUUAAGUCAGAGGUGAAAUCCCAUAGCUUAACUAUGGAACUGCCUUUGAUACUGGUUGACUUGAGUUAUACGGAAGUAGAUAGAAUAAGUAGUGUAGCGGUGAAAUGCAUAGAUAUUACUUAGAAUACCGAUUGCGAAGGCAGUCUACUACGUAUAUACUGACGCUCAUGGACGAAAGCGUGGGGAGCGAACAGAUUAGAUACCCUGGUAGUCCACGCCGUAAACGAUGGACACUAGUUGUUGGGAUUUAUCUCAGUGACUAAGCGAAAGUGAUAAGUGUCCCACCUGGGGAGUACGAUCGCAAGAUUGAAACUCAAAGGAAUUGACGGGGGCCCGCACAAGCGGUGGAGCAUGUGGUUUAAUUCGAUGAUACGCGAGGAACCUUACCAGGGCUUAAAUGUAGAGUGACAGGGGUAGAGAUACCUUUUUCUUCGGACACUUUACAAGGUGCUGCAUGGUUGUCGUCAGCUCGUGCCGUGAGGUGUCAGGUUAAGUCCUAUAACGAGCGCAACCCCUAUCGUUAGUUGCUAGCAGGUAAUGCUGAGGACUCUAGCGAGACUGCCGGUGCAAACCGCGAGGAAGGUGGGGAUGACGUCAAAUCAUCACGGCCCUUACGUCCUGGGCUACACACGUGCUACAAUGGUAUGGACAAUGAGCAGCCACAACGCGAGUUGGAGCGAAUCUACAAACCAUAUCACAGUUCGGAUCGGAGUCUGCAACUCGACUCC
rnacentral:rRNA from 1 species